CCCCAAGUGGCGGAAUUGGUAGACGCAUCAGACUCAAACUCUGACGAGGUCAAACUUGUGCCGGUUCAAAUCCGGCCUUGGGGACCA
rnacentral:tRNA from 1 species